GUCCAGAUGCUUCUGUGUCCCAACCCCAGAUGGUCUGUGGCAGAAGCACUUGAGGCCCAUGUGCUGGGGAGGAGAGUUGCUCUUUCAGGCGAUUGGGAAGGAACAGAAGAACCUGGGCAAGGCUGGAGAGGCCAAGCAAACUUGAAGAGAAAGGCAAAGGAAGAACUGAAGAAGAGAUGGAGCUGUAGGCAAUCUUGAGGGCAUAAGAGCCCUGUGUGUUAACCCUCCUCCGCACAAUGAAACUCUGUACAGUGAAUUGGCUAAGUGGGUCCUUAUUCAGGAUCAUUCAUCACCAUGGCACGGCCUCAUGCAUACAUGGCAGAUUUACAUCAGUGAAACUGAGGAAUAAAAACAAAAGGCCCAUGAUCUGAAGGAAGGGCUGUCAUUAUUUAUGAAGCGCCAGUAAUGUGCUGAGGGUGAGAUGAAGAUCUGAUCAGCCUGGCCUCUUGGCUCGCCCUGCAAGGGUGCUGGUGGCAGAGUGACACAGAGCUGGUGGCUACAACAAGGACAACAUACUCAGCAACUCGGGGCUCCUUAAAGGCAUUUUCCACAAUAGACACUCCACUUCAAAACAUGGGGCACGUGUAUGGGAAGUAAGUCUAAUGCAAACAAAAAUAGAUUUGGGACACUAGCCCGAUGCUAUCAGUGGGCUGAUUCUGUGCAUGCUGAUGUGCAACACGAUGACUGAAGAGACGGUGCCGACAAUUCAGCUGCAGUACAUCUCAGAGAGUCACUGCUCUAGAGAGGUCUCUUCUGUUGCUGUUUCGCUUGGAUUCUUCCGUCACUGAAAACUGUGCUGGGUAAAGUGGUGGCCAGGUUAAUUUUCGGCUGCCACCAGGUCAGCCCCUGACCGCAGUUGCUUAUGAACCAUCUGCCAGCUGACCCUCGCUGAGAAGUGACCCAUCCUCACCUGCAGUCGGUUCCAUGCCUGGAGCCGUACCAGCACCUGGGGGACAUGAGGCGAGAGCCACCACCAGCUGCAAACAGGUGAGUGGCUCCCGAAGGACGUUGACACCUUUUCUGAAUCAGCCUGUCCUGCUUCAAACCUGCUUAUUUCCGAAACUAAAGAAACACAAUGCAGAGGAGAUCUCAUCAGGCACAUGAUGGGCUCCUAGUCCCCUGACAGGGCUGCUUCUCUGUCAGGGGCAGGUCCCGAGGUUUCAGCCAGCAGGGUUGAACGUGGUGCCCUGGAGUGCCAGCCAGGGAAAGUUCACACUCCAACCUGCUGUCACAUAUUUGAAACAAAGUUUGUCACUCAUGUUUGGAGGAGGGAGAAGAUUCCUGGUUAUUUCCCAUACUGAAUUAUUUUUUUCUCAACUGGGAAUAAAAAUCAAUACGACACACACACAAAAAAAAAAAAAAAAAAAAAAAAGAACCCUUGUCCUCAGAUUUUCUUCUUGUUCAGCAAAUCCCUUUUAUUUCCUAAAUUCUCCUGAUGGAGCUCUUGCCAUGUCCCUGGGUAAGAAAAACAAAGCAGCUAAGCCUUCCUCAUUAGACGUAUUUCGGAGGGCCUGAGGCUGGCCAGCAAGAUCUGGCUUUAUCUGAUGCAGCUUUAGGAAAGCAGAUUUGUCCUGGACCAUAAUGAAUACAAAAUAGAUCUUGUUUAGAUGUAGCUCUUUAGUUAUAAAAAACACGUUUCAUUUAACCUGUUUCUAAAGAAGGGAGGGAUAAUUAAAGAAAAGGUUAAUUGCUGCCAAGCCUGCUCUGUGUUUUGUGACCCAGAGAAAUGGUGGGGGCCGAAUUCACAGCCUGCCAUUCCUGCGGCCUUCCCGUCUGUGAAAUGGGGCUACUGGCUCCUGGCGGCUGCCUGAGUGUGUGGUACGGGGGAAAGGAGAGGAGAAAAAGGCCAGGAAGUCACACAGGCAGUGCAGCAGCUGUGUAAACAGCGGUUUAAUAAAGGGCUGCUGCGAUUCAUAGGAAAGGCAGCACCCACUCUCAUCGCCCGCUGCCUGCUGCAUGAGGCGCGGUGGCAGAGCUCAGCCCGCUGAAACACGCCGCUUUCUUACGAGGGAACUGAGCGGCACGAGGCAGAUCAGGCUGCAUGGAGGGCUGGAAAAACAAGGUUUUCCAGACAAAAUAGUUUUCACAAUCAUGAAACACUUACUGGGCUUGGCAUGGCCUAGCGAGAGCUGGGGAAGGAUGUCUGGGAAGCCCUGCAGGGGUGGGUGGGGGGCUUGUCUGCUUGCUUGCAUCUCGGCGUUGGAAAUGCUGUGUGUGCAUGCCCUGUGCCUGGAAAAGUGGGUGUCUGGGUGUCUGCUGGGGGAGCAACCCCUGAGCUUCGCCUGGCAGUGCUGCUUGCUGCCUUUUGCUGGGGAGGAAGCAAACUCCUUCGCCAGCAAACGCAGCUGGGGCACGGGCUGAGGGUGAGAUGUGUGAGGGUGCUGCACGCCCGCCUGCAGAGGCGCUCCGUGCACCACGCAGGGUGCACCCGGCGUGCUGCCAGCAGGCCCCGUGUCCCCUCCUGUCCCCGCACACCCGGUUGCAGCGGGGCCGUGCGGCAGCCGUGAGCCUCCUGCAGGUGGCAGUGCUCUGCUGUGCUGCGGCCGGCCGCCGGGACGCUGCCUCGGAGUUUUUCCUUGGGGGCAAAAAAAAAAAAAAAAGGAGAGCCUAAAGAGCAAAUUUUAUACAGCCUUUGCUUUGGCCCCAGCCUCAGCCCGGGGGAGCAGUGCUGUUGUAUGGCUGUAUGGCACGGGAUUACAUAUCCCAGUCCCGUAUGAAAGCCUAGGAAAUGUAAGGUAUGUGGGCAUGGUUCAAUUACAGUUCUUCCUUCCACUUAUUUCUUGUAUUAUGUGGCCUUUUGAAAAGUAACUGGAGCCAGAACGAUUUCUUGCAAAAACCCUGCAUACAUAGCCAGCAAGGAUCCGGAUUUAUGGAACUACUUGAGUUUAGAGUAGGGAAAGAGAAAAAUAAUAGGGAAAGAAGGGCACUUCAGUGCCAAUGGUAGAUUAUGCUGUUGGGUGGAGAUUUCAACUCAGGAAAGGUCUCUGCUUCUCUGAAGCCUGACAUGAAAAAGCUAAGAAAUUAAACAUCUGUUAGGCUCAGGUUUCAGUGGCUUGCCCGUGCUGAUAUAAUCAGCCAUCUGAGAAGGUUUUCCUGACAAUACCCUACUUUCAAUAAGGUUAUAUAAAGUGUCCAUGAAAAAUUUACUUAGGCCGACAUUAACCUUGUGAGCUGUUCCACCAGCCGUAAGGCUCCACCAAGUAUUUGCUAAAUGACGAGUGUCCGCAGGGAGCAGGUCAAACUGGAGCCUUUCGUAUCACUCAGAGGCAGGAUCCUGGCAGUCAGCGCAGCCUCACGUCUACUGGGCUGUAGCUGGUGGCAUAGGAAUUGAAUAAAUUCUCCUCGCUGUCAGAGUCCUGUACUCGUACCCAGCACUGCGCUGGGCUGGCACGGCCCAUUCGCCACGGCCAUGUCCCCAUACAACACCCGAGCAGGCUCCUGUGCUGCUGGCUGUCGGCACCCACAGCGCCUGCGCUGUAGGCCGGGAGGAAUCCACUUUAUAAAUUAGACUGGGAAGCUUUGUGAAUGAGCAGGAGUAGCCCAGGGCUCCCACUGCACAGAAAUGACAGGAAUGAAGCCCCAUUUCCCAUGGGUGUUCUUCAUAUGCUGGAAACCCUUUAAUUUUAGUUUGGGAUAGGCAAAGUCGGAUGGUAGUUGCAGCAAGCCUGCCAAGCCCGUUUGGCCUUCCUGCACAGGCAACGAGACGUGAGGAUGCCUGGUGGCAGCUGGGAAGGGCUACAAGCUUCUGAUUUUUUUGAUGGGCAUGAAUGCCUCAUGUUCACUUGAUGUGAAAAGUUGUCACAUGGAUGUGUGACAACUUCUGCCAUUACAAAAAUGCAAAGUCAAAAAAAAAAUAAUGUAGCUGACAAAAAAGUCACUGAUAUCACCUGUCAGGACUAAUACGGAUCAAACCCGCCUCCCCCUGCGGUUACCCCAGGCUGUCAUUACAGCACUGCCACAAGCUCACAGCUCCCGCGGCACAGCUCAGCACUGGCAGAUUUCCCCCAACAGGGACGGGGAGGGCUCUGCACUGCGUGUCCUGGUCCGCUGCCAGGAGGGUCCUCCCAUCACAGGGCAUAAAUGCCGCAGCUGAGGGAGGAAGUUUUGUUGCACUUUUCAUUUGGCACAAGUCUGCUUGUGCCCCAUGCCCUAGCUGUGGCCUGUAGGUUUGGGCCUGAAAGUCCAUUUCAUCCAAAAUCCCUAAGCAAAGGUGAGCUCUCAAAACUAGUUAGCACAAAUAAAUCCAUCCUUUUACUAUUUAUAUGCCUGUGGCAGAUGUUGUUUCUGUUUCAUUUGCCUGCCUUUCUUGAUGUGCUCUGGCUCCGUACUCUCCCACUUGAUUUCGGCUGCAAUUUCAGUCCUACCCACAGGUGAAUAAAGAGGUGCCUUUGUACUGCAGUCACCUCCAGUGGAUAUAUUUGGCCAAUUUGUAUGCAGCGCUGCUCCUGCCAGCCUCUCCUGCCUGCCCCUUCCCCCAGGCCUUUAGGUUAAGUGGUUCCUCACAGCCUCAGCAAUUUCACUGUGUCAGCAGUCUUGCCCUUUGGUUUUGCAGGAGCUCAAAUCCUCUGCAUGGGCUCCGCUGCCCUAAGUCUCUGUGUCAAUAAAAAUAAUUCCAGCCUCUGUCCAACACGACUUCACGGAGAUGACAGCUGCCUGCGACAGGGUCCAGGCAAGAAGGGGGUCAGCAGGGACAGAGAUGACAAGGACAGGUUCAUGGUGAGCUCAUCUUUUCUGAGCCACACACUGUUAGCAGCGGUUGAGUGUGGCCACCUGGGCAAGCCAGUGAUGAUGUAUUUGGAAAAGAAUCUGGUAUUAAGCUGAAAGGCAGCUUCUUAAAUCGAGUAAAUUACAUUUGUAUUAAAAACAACCAAAAAAAAAAGAACUUGUAAAUCACGUAUUUAUACAAUUGCGCACGCGAGCAAGCAAGGUCUCAUACGAAACCCAGAUGUUCAUUAGGAACAUGAAUUGUUCUUCCUUGCUGCUACCAUGAAAAGUAAACUGGGAAAAAAGUCAGCUGUGUCGAAGGGGUAUAAAGGAGUGAGUUAAGUCUACAAAAUCCAGGAAAUUUCCCGUUAAGACUAAAAAUCUGGGGUACUAUGGUAGUUUUGUAAUUUGGACCCAAGAUAUAAAUUAAAGCCAGAGUAUCAGGUCAGGUGCUCAAGUUCUCAGCCCUUAGCUGUGGAAUUUCCAGGUUAAGUUACUUAAAUUUUCCUGUUGCUGAAUAAAGCUAAAAUCCUGUGUGCCAUAUAUUUGCUCAUCAUAAAAUGUUCUCUCCUAGCCAGUAACAGCUUCUUUGUUGGCGAAGCCUGUCUGGUUUAUGAGCUUCCCAGCCUUUGUACAACGUACUGGGAGUUAAGAACUUCCACAUGGCUCUUGCUCUGAGGCUUUUGUGAAUAAGCAAAGCAAAGCGCUUGCUCUAUGUCCAACAAAUGCAUCGAAUAUGGUUUGAAUUCUCUGUUUUUAAAUGCAAAGGAUAAUAUUGAUUCUGUUAAGGUAAAUGUCUUUAAUUGUAUGCUAUAUAAACUUGACUCUUACUGAGACAUAAUGGGCUCUGGGCAUCCUUCCAGCACAGCAGUAUGAAAACGUGUCUUUUGGUGUCUGCAAUACAGAACUGCAGAAUUAAGAUUUAGUUGAACAAAAAUUUAACGGAGCACAUCCCCAGUCUCUAAAACACUUGGAGCAUGGAAGGACAUUUACUCAGACAAAUUAAUGCUAUAGCAGGGCAAAACCCCUGUGGAGUACCUGCUAAUGUGGAUUAAAGUUCAUUAAGUUAAUGCUGUGUGAAUCAGUCUCAUCUACAGAAGCUGAACGGGAUCUUAAUUCAUAGGGACACUGGGCAUCACGUUUACAAAGAAGCCCUCCAUACUCUGAAAUCUUUAGGCACACCAUUGUGUUUAGGAGGGUGGUGAAGACAAGUCGACUGGGUGACUUGGCAUUAGUUUAUACAGGAAGAUAAAGGUUUUUAAGAAUAAACCAAACAAUCAUGCAGCAGAUGA